UACGUAGGGGGCGAGCGUUGUCCGGAAUUAUUGGGCGUAAAGAGCGUGUAGGCUGUUCGGUAAGUCUGCCGUGAAAACCUGAGGCUCAACCUCGGGCGUGCGGUGGAUACUGUCGAGCUCGAGUCCGGAAGAGGCAAGUGGAAUUCCCGGUGUAGCGGUGAAAUGCGCAGAUAUCGGGAGGAACACCAAUGGCGAAGGCAGCUUGCUGGGACGGUACUGACGCUGAGACGCGAAAGCGUGGGGAGCAAACAGG
rnacentral:rRNA from 1 species